CAGCAGCCGGUAAUACAGAGGGUGCAAGCGUUAAUCGGAAUUACUGGGCGUAAAGCGCGCGUAGGUGGUUUGUUAAGUUGGAUGUGAAAUCCCCGGGCUCAACCUGGGAACUGCAUCCAAAACUGGCAGGCUAGAGUAGGGCAGAGGGUGGCGGAAUUUCCUGUGUAGCGGUGAAAUGCGUAGAUAUAGGAAGGAACACCGGUGGCGAAGGCGGCGACCUGGUCCUUGACUGACGCUGAGGCGCGAAAGCGUGGGGAGCAAACAGGAUUAGAUACCCGUGUAGUCCCUGUCUCUUAUACAC
rnacentral:rRNA from 1 species